ACGCAGUGGCUUGGCGCGAGUGUCGGCCAGGCUGGCCCGUGUCCGCCACGGAGGCCGGCUAAGGCUGCGCCGCGGGUGACAGGCUCUGGCGCGAGAGAAUGACCCCGCAGGGUACCUGAGCCGAAAUGAACCCCUCAUACACGGUUUUCUCCCGGUUCUGAGGAAGCAGCAGCGGGAAGUAGCGCAACAGACCUGGGCCACUGUCAGCCUCGAGCCAAAAGGUGUUCUUUGCAGUGGACAGAAGCCUAUGGAGAGAUGCAUCACCAGUCACAGAGCUGAGAACAGACUGCUUGACUCCAGACAGAACAUCUAUAUUAAGUCCUCUACCACAAGGCUCGGAAUAUCAAGGAAUCUGAGGCAGAAAGAAUGUUAGAACUGGAAGAGAGGAAGGAGUGCCAUGAAAUGCUGCCUUCUGGACAUGAUUACUGCCACAAUGAUCUCAACGCAGCUGUGGUUACUGCACAAGACCUAUAUAAGAUCAGACUGUCCAAAAUCCUGGCCUAGAUGGUUUCAGUGAUCUCCAGGCUCCACUCCUUACUAAGAGUCUUUGGCCAUGGAUGGUUGCUUAAGGGGAGAUCAUCCUUUAUUGAGGAUGUGCCCGCUGGUAGGAUUCCUGUUGUUGAUUGUUUUUACUAUUUUGGCUCUUUGGGAGUCCCACCACCGAGCUUCCAAAUAAAUCACACACAGGCUUUUUCUUAAUUAUGAA